AGGACCACACCUUACAGACCGCAAGGAAAUGGGCAGUGUGAACGUUUCAACCCUACAUUGCACAAUAUGCUGCGCACGCUGCCAGUGGAGAAGAAGAGGGACCGGACGUUGUACCUCCCACAACUUAUCUUUGCCUACAACACCACCAUACACCAAUCAACUGGUGAGUCGCCUUACCUGCUGAUGUUUGGUCAAGAUCCACAGUUGCCGGUGGACUUCUUGCUAGGGAGAGUAACAGACUCCACUGCAGGUACGGUGGACCACUGGCUUGGCGAACACCAGAGGCGACUACGAGCAGCCUAUGCCGGGGCAAGACAUCAAAUGCAGGGGGCUGCACAAGGAGAGAGGAGAGACACGACCAAAAUGUUGACGAAGGGCUGACCGUGGACCAGUUGGUGUAUCUGAGGGACCACAGCGUAAGGGGAAGAAACAAGAUCCAGGAUCACUGGAACCCAACACCCUACAGAAUUUUGAAAGCGCCAAUAAAUGUUGGAUCUGUAUAUACUGUGGCUCCCGUCGAUAACCCUAACCAAACUAAGCAGGUGCAUCGAACAAUGAUUAGACCUGUUCCCGGGAAUGCUCACCAUAUCCGCCCUCCCCAAGAUGAGUAAAGAAUCACGGUGGAAGCUGCUCCUGAGGAGGAAGAACUUGAAGAAGUGUGGAUUGUGAAAGGAAGGCCACUGGCCUCAGAAGACCUCAACCCAGUGGAAGCGGAGCCUCCUUGCAGGGUCGCCAGUGAGGUGGAAAUGCAGUUUGGAGUGACCCCCGAUCCACCGGGACUACCAACAGACCACUCUGCAAGGGAAGGGACGGGCCAGCCAAGCCGCCCUCAAGCUCUAAUGUUUCUACGGACAACCCGGGUGACAGUGGGCAAACGUUCAUCGCUUGCCACAGACAACCGUGAGUGGGCAGGGGGCUACCGUUUUAGGUCCCCUUAGUCUUAAGUCAGGGAGGUGAGUCUUACCCUCGGGACAAGGAUAAAAGUAGUGGGGGUAGAUGUGACGGGUAGUGUCAAGGGGUUGGGCUGACGUCCUCAAUAGGCGCCCUAUUUUACGGGCCGUCUCCCGUUCUCUAGCAGUCCGCUGAGAGGAGAGUAGCAGGUAGGGCGCUAACUGGUAGGUUGUUUGUGAUGGGGGAAAUUGGCAGCUCACAGAUCUCAACCUUGCAGGUUUUGCAGGCCGAGCAGAGUCCCUUCGGACGUCGUUGGGGAGGGUUUAGCUCCUCAGCCUUUCCAGGUGGCGCACAAACUGCUGUUUUGGCGUAUUCAGAGUAAUCACGUACGGGAAGCAGGAAGGCGCAGAAUACCACAAACAUCUUUGCACCAAUAGAAAGAUCCCACAGAAGAAAAUGUUCCACUUGACUGGCCAAUCACAUUGAACACUUUGUCUUCAAAGGCAUCACAUCUUUGGGUAAAAUCAGUCUGUCUGUUAACUUUCGGUCAUCAUCACUCAUGGACGGGCUGCACACUUUUCUAGUCGCUCUCUUAGGAGUUGCAUCCUGCAGUCAUGAUUGGAUCUCUGGAUCAGUGACAGUCAGACCAGGAGACAACAUCACGCUCUACUGUGAUUGUAAACUAUCAACUGGAGUAUCCAUAGUGUGGUACAGGAACUGCUCUCAUGAGAACCAGCCUCCUCUCGUCCU